GGAAGGGUAUAUAGCUCAGUGGUAGAGCGCAUGCUUAGCAUGCAUGAGGUCCUGGGUUCAAUCCCCAGUACCUCCA
rnacentral:tRNA from 1 species